CGCCCCGCCCCACCUUGGGCUCUCUGUCCCUCCGCAGCCGGGGAUUGCUCCCACCCCUCCUCGAGGCGGCGGUUGGUAAGGCUUCGUGCCUGGCCUCCGCAAAGAGUUCGGCUCUGUCAGCCUCUGCCCUGUCUCAGGGCCAAACUUAGGUAGGGUAGGGAGCAACUGUGGAUUGCCUGGUCCGGGCUAAGGGACAUCUCUUGGGGCCUAUGGAUAAGGAGCAUCCCCGGUUGCAAGCGUAGGGUUGUAAGUUUGUAGGGUUCAGUGGGGCAGCUUGGCAGUGACACGGAGAGGCUGAGGGAGGGCUUCAGAGGUCAAGGGCUCGAGGGCUGGAGACAAACAGUGAAAAGAAAAGGGGUAUAGGUUGGGAUAUAAGGUAGAGUACAGGACUAUUCAAACCCUAAACAGUAGCCCUCACAGCGCUCCCGUUUCCUUGAGACAGCUGCAGGCAGGAACCCUAAAGCAGCAGAGUGCCAGAACCCCUGAGAGGUGCAGGCAGUACCCCUGGUGCUAGGGCCAGCCAGGAAGAGAUAGUGAGUGCUAGGGCCUACUGCUGUCACAUAAGCUGGGGUUUCUAUCCUUGGGGUAUCCUGGGCUCCCUGUCCCUCACUGACUGGAGAGUCUUCCUCCCCUCCUGGAGGUGGUGGUCGUUUGGCUGUCAGCCAAUACUGCUGUGAAGCAAGCUUCGGCCUCCCUGUGGGGUGAAGUGUGCAGCCCAUGAACCUGGGCAUUCUCUAGAGAAGGUAAGUGCUGGGUUUUCACAGAUGUGGCACUAAGCUCCUGCAUUGAUAUUUUGUCUUCUUGGUUGUAGCUGACCAGGAGUCGACAUCCUGGCAAUGGCAGGAACUUCCCAGAUGGCGAGGAGGCCUUCCUUCGCACCCCAUGUGGAUCCACCCCACAAGGCAUCCGAGAGCUGAGUCAAAGGCUACCACCCGCAGAGGGGAUGAAAGCGGGGUGCCGGGUCGGGGCUCGUGACCUGGGAUAUUUGAGUCAGCUUUGGGGACGGGGAGGUCCAGGCUGUGGCCCCUUAGGCCGCACGGUGGGAGAGCCUCACUUUUGUUCACAGUGCUGAGGUGUGCAGGACAGAGCAGCCUCGGGGCGUGGCGUGUCACUUGUCCGUCGUGCCUUCUGUGUCUUUUGUGCCUCUUGUGUUGUACGUGCCUUGCCCUAUCUCUUCUGGGGGCUUACCAGAAACCCCAGCAUCACUUAUAGCAUCUCCGAUCUCUGGGCUCCUCGGCUCGGCUGCUCUCAGAGGCCUUGGAAUCGCGUCUGUUUCGAAAAGCAUCCGAUCGGAUGUCUUUUAGACGUCUUCUUCCGAGCUGUGUCAACAGCCGUGCGCCGCGAGGAUCCAUUGUUGCGGCUUAGGACUUGAAGAAACGCAAAGAUAGGUAGAGGAUUGCGGCCAUAAGAUUCUUGGGCCUCCGUCUUGGCGGUUCCUGGAGUUUGUCAUUCCGUCAGCAUCUUCUUCCUCCCGGGUUCUGUGAGCUUCAUCAGCUCGCCUUCAUUCUCACCCGGCUCAUCUCGUUCCGCAUUCUCAGUCCUUGCGGCCGUCCUUGUGGCCCAGAGUUUUGUCUCCCCAUUGUGUCCCCUCGUCGGUUGUCUGGUGUGUCACGGGUGUCUGGGUGUAGUUGUCCCGGAGCUGCUCUGCCCUGCUGCCCAGCCUGGCUGUAGGUGUAAAAGGCCAAGUCCCAGGCCCCUGUAAUUUGAAAUUUGUGAUGUAGGGUGUAGUUGGGGUCUAGAACAUAUCCCUAGAUCAACACAAGAUGUCUGGAGCUGUGAAGUUACCCUGCAGCACUUUAACUUUUGUCUCAGCUCUCUUUCAGAUGCGGCCGGAUGAAAUCGGUGGCAGAGCGCCCCAUCCAGGGUAAGGGGGUUCCCCCGAGAAGGUAAGUCAGUGUUUGUCUUUGCAGGGCAACUGGAACCGGUCACUGUGUUACAGGUCUCCUCUUUGUCUUUAUUUUUAGGAAAUAGAGCCAGCUAGCAGCAGUCAAGGUGAAGUGGGCAAGGCGGUCCAGUCGCGUUUCGUCGAGACCCCGUCGCCAGCCGGCCGGCACGCCUGCUUCGCCGCUCCCGUGAGCCCUGCGGAAGCGUCACAGGGACUGCGUGACGGAGCCUUUUCCACGUAAAGGGGCCGUGUGGGUGGCCUUCAGGAAGGGGCCGAGGGCUUCCCGCGCGCCCUGCGACGACGCUGCCUGGUCCCGGCGUGGCCCUAUCGUGCGGCCUCAGGACACGGCCCUGACGGAGAGACGACAGCCUGGCGAUGGCAGGAACUUCCCGGAUAGCCAGGCGGCCUUCCUUGGCGCUCCGUGUGGAUCCUCCCCAGCGGG